UACGUAGGGUCCGAGCGUUGUCCGGAAUUACUGGGCGUAAAGAGCUCGUAGGUGGUUUGUCGCGUUGUUCGUGAAAACUCACAGCUUAACUGUGGGCGUGCGGGCGAUACGGGCAGACUGGAGUACUGCAGGGGAGACUGGAAUUCCUGGUGUAGCGGUGGAAUGCGCAGAUAUCAGGAGGAACACCGGUGGCGAAGGCGGGUCACUGGUCCAUUACUGACGCUGAGGUGCGAAAGCGUGGGGAGCAAACAGG
rnacentral:rRNA from 1 species